rnacentral:rRNA from 1 species
GAUGAACGCUGGCGGCGUGCCUAAUACAUACAAGUCGAGCGAACGGACGAGAAGCUUGCUUUUCUGAUGUUAGCGGCGGACGGGUGAGUAACACGUGGAUAACCUACCUAUAAGACUGGGAUAACUUCGGGAAACCGGAGCUAAUACCGGAUAAUAUUUUGAACCGCAUGGUUCAAAAGUGAAAGACGGUCUUGCUGUCACUUAUAGAUGGAUCCGCGCUGCAUUAGCUAGUUGGUAAGGUAACGGCUUACCAAGGCAACGAUGCAUAGCCGACCUGAGAGGGUGAUCGGCCACACUGGAACUGAGACACGGUCCAGACUCCUACGGGAGGCAGCAGUAGGGAAUCUUCCGCAAUGGGCGAAAGCCUGACGGAGCAACGCCGCGUGAGUGAUGAAGGUCUUCGGAUCGUAAAACUCUGUUAUUAGGGAAGAACAUAUGUGUAAGUAACUGUGCACAUCUUGACGGUACCUAAUCAGAAAGCCACGGCUAACUACGUG